rnacentral:tmRNA from 1 species
GGGGGUGUAAAGGUUUCGACGGGGAUUCUGAGGCAUGAUAAGCGUGGCGAGCCGGGUAAUCUCGAAAACUGCCCAAAACAAAUAAUAAACGACAACAAUACUGUUGCUAUGGCUGCCUGAGUUUUACGCGAAAGCGUAAAAUGAAGGCGGUGCUGUGACCUGCGGGUCACCCGUUCCUCCCAGGAGUACCGCGGCUUGGGACCGAGCGUCAAAUCAGCGGUGAACCUGCACCGGCGGCUGGCAUUCGAACCGGUCAGGCAAAAGAGUGCUACCGAACGGGGGAGCGUGUCUGCUCGCGCCCCUGAGCGGGAAUCCUAAAUAACAGACUGUCCACGAAGAAGGUUGUGUCAAGGGGUUUUCGGACAUGGGUUCGAUUCCCAUCAUCUCCACCA